AAACGGUGGAGUUUUACUGCCGGAGAUAUAUCAGGAGGAGAGAAUUGAAAUCGAGGUUAUUCAUAAAUCCUAUAACAAAGGAGAAAGAAGCUUCAUUUCUUAGUGGCUGGCUUCCUUAUUUUCUUCCCCUCAUUCAGACGGUCCAUUUGGUUUGUUGGAUUAAAGUCAUCAAUGGCCUAGAGUUGGCUUGUUGGAUUUAUUAUAAAAAGAGCCCAUUUCAAUUAAAAAGAAACCUCAUCCUCAAUUCUUUUUUAAUAAUUUACAAGGCUAAUAAAUUUUUGGUAUAUAUUUUGGUCCCUGAAAUCACUAUCUGAUGUAGUCCAAAACCCAGUAAUCCAAAACCUAUGAGAUCAAAAGCCCCAAACACUGAAACAAAAGCCCAAAAACACCAGCCCAACCCAAAACCCAGGCCCCAAGCCUCAAACCCCUAGAUCCCAAGCCGCGAUAUACCUAGAAUAAGAUAUCCCAAGCCGGGAUGCCCCUAGAGUAGGAUAUCUCAAGCCGGGAUAUUCCUGGAAUGGGAUAUCCCUGUCAGGAAUAACUACACCAGGUAACCCGGUCCAAACAGGUUAAAAAUCUGAACCGGCUGCCAGAACAGCCGAACCGAACACUAAAAAUAUUGAACCGGAAUGGAAUACGACGGGAAUAAUCUUGGAAUAGCUUAUCCCGGUACGGGAUAUCACGGGGGUAUCCCUGGUGCAGAAUAAGAAUGAAUUAAAUUCAGUGCUUAUUUACAAGGACUCGAUUCUAUUUUCAAACAUCACAUGGCAGCAGAUGUGGUCAAUACAUUGUGUUUGGAGAGGUGGAUAGAUAGGACUACUUGCUCGAUCAGGACCUAGCUUUAUUGCGAGCGCAAAAGUCCCCAAUCUUCAACGAGAAAAAAGCAGGACGUGGAAAAAAGAAAAAAAGCCUAUGUUUUAAAAACUCGGUAUGAUUUACUUAGUGUUUUCUUAUUCCUUAACAAAUAUAAUGCAGCCUUAACAGCUUUAAAUACACCCAAACGAUUUUGAAGAACCGAAUUCUCGCACACUUUUAACAACUUUCAUAGUAUCAUGCCUCUCAUAUACAAUAAUCAAAUCUCCACCUCU
rnacentral:lncRNA from 1 species